rnacentral:sRNA from 1 species
UUCUUGAACGUGUGAAACUCGAGUCGGGAGGUUGCUCUUCUCUUUAAUUGAAUCAAGUUGCAAUAAUUACAAAUUGUAAUAAAACAUUCGCUGCAUAAUGACACGUGCAAUAUAUAAAACAAAGAUGGCGUCACUUUGAUCCGCGUUAAAAACCAGAAAAUGGUUAGUACCACGUGAACAAUUCUCUGUUGAAAAUCGGGAAAAUAUGCUUAAUGUUAGACAUCAGCGAUGGCAUAGAAAAAUGAAAUCAAAAAUGAUCUCCUAGAGCCCUCGAUGUGAAGUAACCAACUUCCAUUCGGCUAUGGAUGGAUCAACUUUACUUAUAUUCUGCUCCAGCAAAUGAUAAACAAAUGUUGCAACUACCCCUACAUGGAUUGUUUUAGACUUCAAAUACAAAUUGACGUCACAUUUUUGAAUCUCCUAAAAAGCAAAGGAUGCAUAGAAAUGUUCAAGAUCUGUAGUUGAUGUCGGGAUCAUCUCGCUACUGCUGGGUAUUGAUGGCAAAUUUAAAGAAAUACAGAAUAUUUUACAACUACUUGCAUAUGUCUAACUAAAAAAUGGUUAAUUAUAU